rnacentral:lncRNA from 1 species
UCUGGGCUCAGGGACCCCCCCCCCCCCCCCGCUCCAGCCCAGCCGGAACCUUCUUACCCUGCCAGGCCUGGGGAAGCCACCCGAUUUCCAUGGCAACAGACUUCCCUGCUCCCCCGCGGAGAGGGCCUUGUCCACGCUCUGGGGAGGCAGCUCACUUCCUUCUGGACAGCUCGGGGGGCCUUGCUCCUGCGACCGUCAGGGGUGCAGUACAGCUCAACUUCCACCCCUUCUCGUCCCCAGGACAGCCAAGCCGCUUCAUUGCGCCGAGCCUCCACAUUAAAAAAAAAAAAAUGAUAUUGAGGAUUGAAGCCAGGGCCUUCAUACUGAGCUACAUCCCUGGUCCUUUAAAGUAUAUAUUUUAAAAAUGUGAGACAGGCUUUUGCUGUGUCACUCGGUCGCCCAGGUUGAGCUUGAACUUGGGGUCAGCCUGCCUCGGCCUCCCUCCUGCUGCGACUGGCUCCUUUUAGGUAUCACAAGCAUCUAGCGAUGAAGCGAAGCAGAGGCUAUGAUAAGGGACGGAAGGGACCCCCGCACGUCCCUGCCGCCUCCCGUCCUCCCCCGUGGCGGCGGCCGCGGCCCUGCUCAGCAGUGCUGGUGACUUCCUGGUGACGGGGACUUUACGUUCCCCGGCUUGUUUUCGUGUCUGCUUGGCUGCCGCUUCCCCAGGAAAUCUGUGUCCUGGGCUUGGACUUGGCUGGGCCGAGCCGGCCGUCUGGGUCGCUUUGACGUGGAGCGCUGCCUGCUGCUCUUUACGUUCCCAGGAUGGAGGGGAGCCCCUGCGGCGUCAUCUGGCCCCCGACACUCCGUCCCUGGCCUGGAGCAGCCUUGGGCUGCAUCUUUGCUCGGUGCUGAGGAAUCCCAGAAGCUUCACGUUGGGGACAGCAUUGAGCUAAUGCAUAACUGCCCUGAUGGCUUAUUGACCGCGCGAAAGCAGGGUGGGGGGACAAAUGUGCGCGUGCGUAGUCAGCCAUCUGGGUUCCCCGGGAAACAGUGACACCACCCCCACCCCCCCGUCGAGGACGUUUUCUACCUAUCAGAUCCGUGCCCCUCAGUCACUGUCAGAUACUGAUGCUCUGCUCUCCCACUCUGGGACUCGGCCUCAGCCAUUCUGCAGAGCAGGACUCCUGGACCCGGCGCAAGGCGGAUGGGUCCCAGGAGGGGUGCAGAUCUCAGUUUCCCAACCCCAAAGCCCGUGCUGGUGUCGCCAGGCUGAGAUGACCGCCUUUUACCGAUCAGAGAGGAUCACGCAUCCAGCUAUGGUCUGA